UACGUAGGGGGCAAGCGUUGUCCGGAAUCAUUGGGCGUAAAGAGCGCGUAGGCGGCCCAGUAAGUCCGCUCUGAAAGUCCGGGGCUCAACCCCGGGAGGCGGGUGGAUACUGUCAGACUAGAGUGCGGAAGAGGCGAGUGGAAUUCCCGGUGUAGCGGUGAAAUGCGCAGAUAUCGGGAGGAACACCAAUUGCGAAGGCAGCUCGCUGGGACGUGACUGACGCUGAGACGCGAAAGCGUGGGGAGCAAACAGG
rnacentral:rRNA from 1 species